ensembl:lncRNA
AUGGGGAUGAAAUGCCACUGCCUCACUCUUUACAGCAUGGAUCCUGUACUGUACAGAGGGUACACUCACUCACAGUAGGACUGAUUCUAUAUCUGCAAACUGCGUUUUGCAUGAAAGGACUACAAAAGUUUGAAUACUUUCCUGAGAACUCCAUAGCAGUGGAAUUUAACCUAGCACUGGAUUUUUCCCUGGAUCUCCUAACACCAUGACAUCUGAGGCAAAGAGUCUGUUGCAGGAUGAAAUAGGAUCUGGCUAAAUGUCCUUGCUACUGACAUCACUGAUGAAAUAAUGCUUCUGCAUUCUGCCUUCUGUGACAUAAUGACCCAAGGUCCUCUGGUGGUGUUGAUUAUGGAGACCUCCCAGAAAGAAACAGCUCAGUCCAAUGCACCAGAGAGACUCCUUGG